AUAUCCGGUAGCAGAUAGUCACCAGUUGCUGGCCGCCUGCCAUGUGCCGCCGGCAUGGUUCGAGCCCAUGCGGAUCGGC
rnacentral:tRNA from 1 species